AGAGUUUGAUCAUGGCUCAGAUUGAACGCUGGCGGCAGGCCUAACACAUGCAAGUCGAACGGUAACAG
rnacentral:rRNA from 1 species